UCAUCAAAAAGGGCUGAAGAAAGAUA
rnacentral:piRNA from 1 species